rnacentral:rRNA from 1 species
UACGUAGGGUGCGAGCGUUAAUCGGAAUUACUGGGCGUAAAGCGUGCGCAGGCGGUUUUGUAAGCCAGAUGUGAAAAUCCCCGGGCUUAACCUGGGAAUGGCAUUUGGGACUGCAAGGCUUGAGUGCGGCAGAGGAGACUGGAAUUCCUGGUGUAGCAGUGAAAUGCGUAGAUAUCAGGAGGAAUACCGAUGGCGAAGGCAGGUCUCUGGGCUGACACUGACGCUCAUGCACGAAAGCGUGGGGAGCAAACAGG